rnacentral:lncRNA from 1 species
AACGGUCUCCUCUCCUUCCUCACUGAGCUUCGGAGGAGGAAACCUUUGUUUCCUGGACCUGGCCAAGCUCCUUGCCCAGCGCAGACCGGCUGCCCUUGUCUAUUGGCCUUUGAGUGGACAAGGAAGGAGGAAGUGAGAGGCACUCCGACAGAGAAGAGUCCCUUUCCCUGCAACUCCAGGAAAACCUGCAGGCUCCCCACACCUGGCGGAAGCAGGAGGCAGCCAUGCCCGCAAGGCUAAAGUCCUGGCCUACAGCCCCAGCAGCCUUCCUCCAGAGUUUACCCAGUGCACA